rnacentral:sRNA from 2 species
CCCGAGAGCCGCCGACAUGAAGAAAGACGUGCGGAUCCUGCUGGUGGGAGAACAUGAAACCAGCUUGUAUAAAAGCCCUUACUCGUAUAUUUAAAAUAUCUGAUCAAGAUAAUGAUGGUACUCUCAAUGAUGCUGAACUCAACUUCUUUCAGAGGAUUUGUUUCAACACUCCAUUAGCUCCUCAAGCUCUGGAGGAUGUCAAGAAUGUAGUCAGAAAACAUAUAAGUGAUGGUGUGGCUGACAGUGGGUUGACCCUGAAAGGUUUUCUCUUUUUACACACACUUUUUAUCCAGAGAGGGAGACACGAAACUACUUGGACUGUGCUUCGACGAUUUGGUUAUGAUGAUGACCUGGAUUUGACACCUGAAUAUUUGUUCCCCCUGCUGAAAAUACCUCCUGAUUGCACUACUGAAUUAAAUCAUCAUGCAUAUUUGUUUCUCCAAAGCACCUUUGACAAGCAUGAUUUGGAUAGAGACUGUGCUUUGUCACCUGAUGAGCUUAAAGAUUUAUUUAAAGUUUUCCCUUACAUACCUUGGGGGCCAGAUGUGAAUAACACAGUUUGUACCA